GUCCAAAGCCCUGCGCAGGUUCUCCCCGAUCGGGGCCGGGGGGCGCGGGGGGAGGCGGCCUGCGGUGAGUAGGUCGGUAACCCACCCGACCCGUCUUGAAACACGGACCAAGGAGUGCGACGCGUGCGCGAGUCGUCGGGUCUUGCACAGGCCCGCGGGCGCAAGUAACUUUCGCCCGGGAUGCCCGGGACGCACCGGGGGCCCGGUCGGAGUCUGAGCGCACGCGUUGCGACCCGAAAGGUGGUGAGCUAUGCUUGGGCAGGUCGAAGCCAGAGGAAACUCUGGUGGAGGACCGUAGCGGUUCUGACGUGCAAAUCGAUCGUCGGACUCGAGUAUAGGGGCGAUAGACCAAUCGAACCACCUAGUAGCUGGUUCCCUCCGAAGUUUCCCUCAGGAUAGCUGGCGUCGGAGCAUUCGUUCCUGGUAAAGCGAA
rnacentral:rRNA from 2 species